CCUAAAUUUCUUGCUUCAGCCGCCGCCCACACCAGACCCUUCUUCCUUUCCCCUUCAAUUUUCAUCUUCUCUGCCUCUUGCCCCCGCAUCUGUCUCUUCUCUAGCUGAUUAAUAAGCAAAUAACCCAGAUCUCCGCAUACAUCUAGUAUACUUGCAGUCGAAAAAAACCCGAACAAACCCCUUGGCGUCUCUCUUCACCUGCAACAGAAAGAGUCAAAGAGCUAGGGUUUUUGCAUCUUUCUUCAGAAUUUGGUGAAAGUUUAAAGAUCUCAACUGAUUGUUUGUAAGUAGUAUUGGUGGCUUGGUGCAAUCUUGGAAUAUAAUUGUUUUGGCAUUAUCCUGGAAUUUUUGGAUGCUGGUGUUGCUGGAAUUUUUGGAUGCUGGUGUUGCUGGAAUUUUUGGAUGCUGGUGUUGCUGGGUUUUUUUCUUCAAAGUUCAAAUUAUGCCGGAUGUUUAUGAUAAUUUAUUGCUGGUUGUUAAUGUAUUCGCUUGUACUUUUCUAGUGCGAACAGACUUUUAAUUUGAGGUUUUAAAAUUUGAUCAUGCAUCUUGCAUAUUGCAUUGAUUUAGCACUUUAGGAAGUAUAUUAAAAGUCAGCUAAUUUGCAUCUC